rnacentral:lncRNA from 1 species
GGCAGAUCUUUUUCAGGAAUGCAUAAUAUGGCUAGCUUUAAUUUAGUGAUACUUGGCUUGUGUGGGCUCAGCCCUGCUGGAUGCUCUGGUGCAGAUUCCAUGUUACACAAGGGGGCUAGGAGCUGGGGCCUGGGGCCAUGGAGACCAAAAUGUAGCCCAGCUCACCUUGUCUUGUGUCCUUCAAGGAGUCAUGUCUGAAGGGUCUAUCCUUUUAUCAUUUGGACAGAGUUGUCAUACACAUUAAUAGAGUGCCAAAUAGGAAAGGUUUAGAAAAGAAUGCUUUAUCUGCAUAGUUUGUCAUUUCAUCAACCAUUGGGCACAAUAAAGGCACUGCAUUUGCAUCGGCAUGGAUAUGAAGAUGAGUCAUAGUUAGUUCUAGGAAUAAACAGAUUUAUUCCCAAAUCAGUUCAAAUAGAGACUGGUCCUUCUGAGGGCGUUCACUAUUAAGCUGCAAAAGACUAAGUGGAAAGUCACGUCAGUCACUUUAAGAACAGCUUUUACUUAAAAAAAGUAAAGCAAGCAUCAAAUAACAGCUCACGCUUACCCUACAGAAAGGGGCAGAAGGAAACUCAGGAGCCCACCAGUUGGGUCUCAAAGACCAUCACGCUAACCAGCUUUGGGAGAUGUGUGGAAAUAAAUGAGGCAAUGCUGACUUUGGGACCCCCUGUAAUUCAAUAUCCAGUGAACAUAGGUUUAAUUGGCCUUAAGAAAUUUAACAGGAAGGUUGCAAUCCAAGCUCUAGCUGUGGGCAUCUUACAGGUGUGGACACUUGUGUUUGGUGGUUUGCAUUGCUAUAAAGGAAUACCUGAGACUGGGUAAUUUAUGAUGAAAAGAGGUUUAUUUGGCUCACGGUUCUGAAGACUGUACAAGAAACAUAGCACCAGCAUCUGCUUCUGGUGAGGGCUUCAGGAAGCUUCCAAUCAUGGUAGAAGGUAAGGGAGAGCUGGUGGUGUCACAUGGUGAGAGGGAGCAAGACAGAAGGGAGAGCUCCCAGAAUCUUUUAAACAACCAGAUUUCCUGUAAACAACUGGCAAGAACUCACUCAUCACCCCUGGGAAUGCACCAAGCCAUUCAUGAGGGAUCCACCCCCAUGAUCCAAUCACCUCCCACCAGGCCCCACCUUCAACAUGGGAAUCACACUUCAAUAUGAGAUUUGGAGAGGACACACAUCCAAACCAUGUCAGCACUUCAGGGGGAAAACAGUGACAGUGCAAGGAGGGUCUUUGCCAUAAGCAAAGAAAUGGGAGGAAGGAGUGAGGCAUUGGCCAAGUUGGGCACCCCUCUUCUUGCCUCUCUGAGUUCAUGUCUCAUACUGGCAGUGUCCAUGCCUGGCUCUCUUCUUGCCAUUUAGGUUUUUAUGACAUGGAUCUCUGUAACAUCGCUUUGGGAACAAAUGCAUGUUUUACUUAUACUUUCUCUUACAAGUGAUGCACUUCUCAUCUGAUCCCAUUCCCUCCCUUGCUACCACCUUGGAAUGUGCCACUGUAACCUCACCACUGGAUUAUAGUACCUGUUCCUGACUGGUCUCACUUCUUAUGUCCCUGUUCCUGUCUUCAGUUGGCAGAGUGAAACAGCUCACUCAGAUCCUGUCCCUUCUCUACCUAGAACCCCGUAGGGGCUUUUGUCUUGCUUAGGAAAAGCCAGAGUCUUUACAGUGCCUCCCAUCUGGCUUACCUUCCUCCUCGUGUCCCCUUUAUUCCCUCUGUACCAGCUGCACUGGCCCCUGGAAGAGCAUGCUGUCCAAGUUGCAUCCCACCUCGGAGUCUUUGCAUUCACUGUUCCUUUGCUUGCAUUGCCCUUUCAGGCGGUCUACGUGGCUUCCUCCCACACUUCCUUCAAGUCCUUGCUCAGAUGCCUCCUUUUCAAUGGGCUCUCUCAAACAACCCAUCUGACAGUGCACACACUUACACCCCUGGUCACCCCCUCACCCUUUCCUGCUUUAUUUUUUCUCUUAGUGCUUGUUGGUACCUAACAUAUUACAUAUUUUACAUAUUUCUUGGUUCCUUAUCUGUCUCUCCCUCUAGAAGGUGAGAUUCUUGAGGGUGAGUUUCUUUUCACCCUCAGGUAUCCCUGUUGCCCAGAGCAGUGGCUGGGCCAUGGUGAGUGCCCUGCAAAGACACAUUAAGUGAACACAUGUGAACAGUGAGGACCUGGAGGUGCUCAGUCUAUGAAUUUUUCAGCAACCAUGCCAACUGGCCACCGUGAUCAUUUCGCUCAAGCAUUCUCAGCCUAGGUGUUCUGGUCCUCUCUCAUCUCCUGCCUCCAUCUGGCUGUAUGGACAAAAGGGUGCCAUCGAAUCCUCUGGGCUGUGGUUUCCGGUAAAAUAAUGGGUUUGAACUGGAUGAUUUGAGUCUCCCAGAUCCGAAUUUUAGUCUCCCAAGUCUUUGAUUUUUUUGUCGUCUAAAUCUCUACCUUCACAUGGCCAAGCUUCAAACAGGCUAUAUUAUAAACGGGACAUAUUAGCAGAGUAGUUAGUGAUUCCCUUUGUGGAGUCCCUGUCUCCACUGCUUGUAGCAGAAGCCAUCAGUGACCAGCCUAAGCUCUUGAAACUGACUGUUCCAGGUCACACCAACUGUACUCCACUGUGAGCUCCUGGGCCUUUGUGCUGGAGGGUUUUCUAUCCACCAGGGAUGGGCGGGCUGGAAGGUGUGAGGAGUGUGUGUCCCUGGGAGUGGCCUUCAGCCAAUGAUGUGUGAGAAUUGGAUAAAUAAUCCAGCUCCUUUUCCCCUCUGGGGUGUAACUCCCAGGGGUGUUCUACCCUGUCUCCCAGAGUUAUCCCACACGAUUGAGCCCCAGUUGCCCAGGGUCCUGUCCUGCCCAUUAACACUUCCUAUCAUCCCUCUAUUGCUCACUCCACUACCCCUUCCCAGUGUUUCCUGGGAUCACCUCCCUAAUCAUCUACUUGUACUCAAAUCCCUGCCUUGGGCUCAACUUCUGGGGGACUCUGACUUCUCCUGCUGACUUCUUCUCAGCAGGCACAGAGCCUGCUGCCUCCAGGCAGCUGAAAGCACCUCAUGCAUGUGCUUGUUGGGUUCUCUUUCUCUGUAUGGGCGGAGUACUGGCCUCCACCCUCCCUUCCCAUUGCUUCAUAUGUCCUUCUAUGGGCUCCUCUUUCCCCUAUAUGGCUAGGACCCAUUUCCUCCCACUUCCCCUUCCACAGUCUCCACUUUUCCCCCAAGCCUCAGGAAGCAAUGCCAACAUUACUAUGCAGUGCAGUUUAACUCUUCUUUAUCCUUACCUCUCUCACCUAAGCUAUUCACAUGGGGAUCUUCACCUUCUUGACCAGCCCCACCCUUCAGGACUCUAAGAUAAGCAAAACAAUAGGUCUCCCCUGCACAUGUGCCUCCUUCUCUGGGUUUGAGCUACUGCACAAACUGUAAGUAGUUAAAAAAUGUGUUUUCCUUGUCACGUUGGACUCUGUGAGCUCAAAGUCUACCCCGAAGGCUUCAUACCACAGCUGGAAAUUGCGUUUUAUUCACAAAGCAUCCAGGAUAUGACGCAUUUCAUAUCCACAUGAAUGACAACGAGCAAAGAAACAGACAAAUUGUACGAAAGAAUAAUGUUCCUUCUUCCUGGAAAUUUUCUAAAAGGGAUAGGAUGAGAACUCUGGGUCUUAUUAUUUUAAAAAAAUGCCAUACAGCCUCAAAUUGCCCAUCAACCUCAAGCACACACUUGAAUGUAUAAUUUUUCUUGAAUAUCCAGCGUAUAAAUAUUAGCUUCCAUGUCCUUGACUAGAGUAAUAGCAUGGACAGACUGUGGAAAGGCUGAACUGCCUGCCUGGAGGCAAGUUGUGUUUGAAAUAAAUAAUGCAUUUCAUAAUCCCAUGUGACAUCAUGUUCUAUGGAGCCUUGAGAGAUGUAAUCUACUACCAUUACUCCACGCUCCUCAAGCAUUUCUAAUUAACUCAAGAACUGUGGGCCCUGUGUGGAGCUGAGGACGUAGAAGAAUCGGUGGGGGACAGGGGGGAUAUGGGGGAGAAGGACAAACCAGAAAGGUUUUUGCCUUCCUUCUCAGUCCUCAUCUUUGCCUUGGCCAUUGCAGUCCAACUCUUUGCCUCAAAGAUAAGGAAACAAAACAAAACAGCUAAUUGUAAAUCUAUCCACCUAAACAUCUAACCCUGGUGCUAUGGUUUGAAUGUUUGUCUUCUCCAAAACUCAUGUUGACAUUUAACCCCCAAUGUGGCAGUAUUGAGAGGUGGGGUCUUUAAGAGGUGGUUGGGUCAUGAGGGCUCAGCCCUCAUGAAUGGAUUAAUGCAUUCAUGAAUAGAGGGUUAACACAUCAAUGAGUUAUCAUGGGAGUGGGACUGGUGGCUUUAUAAGAAGAGGAAGAGAGACCUGGGCUAGCACACUCAGCUCCUCACCAUGUGAUGCCCUGAGCCACCUCAGGACUCUGCAGAGUCCCCACUAGCAAAGCAAGAAGGCCCUCACCAUAUGCACCCCCUUGACCUUGGACUUCUCAGCUUCCAUAACUGUUGGAAAUAAAUUCCUUUUCUUUAUAACGUACCCAGUUUCAGAUAUUCUUUUCCAAACAACAGAAAAUGGACUAAGGCACCUGGGAAGCAGCUAGGUGAUCAAAGUGUGACAAUAUGACGGAUUACUUCACAGUCCUAUAGUCAGGUUCUAAAUAAUAUUGAGUCAGUAAAAUAAUAUUGACUGCUAUAGAUUGCAGACUGCAAAGCAGAGUGUACAGGAGGUCCUUAUUUUGGUAAAUCAUAUAGGGAGAUGUAAAUUAUAAAUACAUAUGCUUAUAUUACAUAUACGUGUUAACUACUUACAUAUAAAAAUCAUAUAUACAUAAAUACCAGGGGAGUAGACCAUAUUCAAAACAGGUACACUGAGAGGAGGGGUGAUUUGAAAUGUUUGGAAAAAUACUAUCUGUGUGUUUUCACAGUGUUUCAUUGAUAUAUUUUUCUUUCUUUCUUUCUUUUUUUUUUCGAGACAGAAUCUUGCUCUGUCGCCCAGGCUGGAGUGCAGUGGCCCGAUCUCGGCUCACUGCAAGCUCCGCCUUCCGGGUUCACGCCAUUCUCCUGCCUCAGCCUCCCAAGUAGCUGGGACUAUAGGCGCCUGCCACCACGCCUGGCUAAUCUUUUGUAUUUUUAGUAGAGACGGGGUUUCACCGUGUUAGCCAGGAUAGUCUCGAUCUCCUGACCUCGUGAUCCGCCCACCUCGGCCUCCCAAAAUGCUGGGAUUACAGGCGUGAGCCACUGCACCCGGCCAUAUUUUUCUUUUAUAAAUAGAAAGCUAUAUAAAUAAAUAUUGUCUUUCCUCCUGCUUCCAUAAUUAUUGAUACAGAUAGUUUGAGCAAAACUACCUCUUCUCCCAGCUGCCUUUUUUUCAACCUCAGAUGUGGCUCCAUUGUUCAUACUAACAUCCUUCUGCUAGCUAGGGGUGGUGCUCAAAGGGUAGGAUGCUGUUAAAACAUCAGUAGAUCUGAGACCUCGGCUCUCCAUCCUGAAGCCCCCUGAAGAAACUGCAAUAAGCCUGUUUGACCCCACCACUUGCUCAUUGUGGUUAUGGUGGACCUUGCUUUUUCCUGUCCUGUGCAUCACCUUAGACAAUUGGGAAAUUACUUUUAAUUCAGAGAUGGCCUCAGUUAUGGAUUUACAGCAUUGCAACUAUGUAACAUUGUAACAUUGUGACUAAGUAAUUUUAACAAUGUAGCUACAGCAUUGCCCUGCUUUACCGCGGAGACAGCGCCACCUAAUGGUUAAACAAGUGCCCAGCCGUUCCUUACCAAAAGGCAACUCGUUAAUUGUGGAGAGGACGGUAAAAUCAUAGCAAUAUAUCUUCCCCGCCUCCACACAAUACAGUAGAAAUCAAUAGUUAUUUGAGCACUUCUCCAUCAUAAUCCAACCAUCAAUAAGUCUUUGGGUAAGAUUGUGUUGUUACAAAGCAUUUGCCCACCAAUGACAUUUUAUAUCCCCAGACACAAUUAUAAAGGCGAAGAUGUUCCAUCAACAAGCACGCCUGAUUUAAUAGCAUUUCUUGCCCACUGUUACUCAAAGCAGCCUGAAUGCAGGAGCUCUCAAAUGCUUCCCUGCGGCAUAAACCACCCUGAGAUGGGUGUAGGAAAUACACUAAUGAGACGCCUGAGUGUUCACAAUGCUUCCACACACUAGGAGAAUUGGUCUUUAUUGGUGGCCUCUGGAUGUUGGGAAUAAUGAAACACUAUGACCAGGGUUUUCUAGCAGUGUUGAGAGGUGAGAUUUCCAGGCUAACCCAGAAUCUUGGCCUUUCAAGAGCUAGUCGAUGUAGGUGACCACAUCCAGGCACACACCCUUUCUCUUCCAUGCAUGCAUUACCAACUGGAGAGGAUGUCGUGGGGGCUGUAUUCCGGUCCCCUGUAUUAGCCAGUCUAGUGCAGCCAUCUCCCAGCUGCUGUGAGUGUUGGCUGCUAUCAGCUCACAGUCGCCCCUCUUCUCUGAAGAUUUUUCCUUGUGCAAGAUCUUCCUUGCUCUGUUAGUUCUGCCCUCUCUCCCGCAGCCCACAGCCAAUGACUGACUGACAUGGGGGUACAAAGGGCCAGCCCUUUUGCCUUAAAGUGGGACCAGCUCUGUGGUGCAGUUCCUGCUUCGGAGCUAAGUUGGACUCCAGCUAAGACCACAUCUUUGCUCAGUUCCUUCCCCUGCCCCCUCCUACUUCACUCAUCUGUCUUCUGCUGAGUUACCCUCAAUAAAUCCCCUGUACCCAAAUCCUCUCUCCGUCUCUCCUUUCAAGGGACUUAACCUAAUACUGUGAACUUCAAAGAAAUCACUCAAACACACUUCACAGGAACACUUUUCGAAGAUAUUUUUGUUGUUCUUUGAUGAUUCAGAAGAUACCCCUAGACUGUGCAGUGUCACUGGGCUCUUAUUAUGACCAUCAAUUAAUUCUACAGGUAGGAAGAAUUUUUUUUUUUUUUUUUUUUGAGACAGAGUCUCGCUCUGUCACCCAGGCUGGAGUGCAGUGACAUGAUCUCAGUUCAUUGCAACCUCCACCUCCUGGAUUCAAGCGAUUCUUCCGCCUCAGCCUUGCGAGUAGCUGGGAUUACAGGUACAUGCCACUGUGCCUGGCUAAUUUUUUUUGUAUUUUUAGUAGAGAUGGGGUUUUGCCAUGUUGGCCAGGCUGCUUUUGAACUCCUGGCCUCAAGUGAUCUGCCCACCUGGGCCUCCCAAAGUGUUGGGAUUACAGGCGUGAGCCACCAUACCCGGCAGGAAGAAAUAUUCUUGAACAGAGCUCUCCUAUGGCUAGAGGAUGUAAUUAUGUAUGUUGAUUGAACAGCAGUCAGGACCUAGCCUGUCUGGAUCUGAAUGACGCAAAACCUGAUGGCAGAGCCAGAAGCCAGAAUGAUAUGACCAGUCGACCUUGUCCCCAUGGACAGUCGUGGGAUGCAGCCAUGGUGUUCCUGCGUGUGGAGCUUCUUGCUUUUACAGCCCUUCGUGUUGGGUUGUCUCAUUUAUAGAGACAUACAACGUCAGUGCUGGAAGGACCUUUUGCCACUCCUCCAACAGAUACUCGUUAUGCCCUAUGCUGGGUUGAAUUGUAUUCCCCAAAAAGAUAAGUUGAAGUCCUACCCCCUGGAACCUUAGACUGUGACCUUAUUUGAAAAUAGGGUCAUUGCAGCUGUAAUAGGUAUGAGGUCAUACUAGAGUAGGGGAGCCCUACUCCAACAUGACUGGGGUCCUUAAAAGAAGAAGAGAGACAGACACAGAGAAAGAUGGCCAUGUGAAGACAGAGGCAGAGAUUAGAGUGACAUCUACAAGCUGAGGAACACUAAGGAUUGCCAGCAACACCAGGAGCUGAAAGGGGCAAGGAAGAAUUCUCCCCUACAGGUUUUCAGGGGGAGCACGGCCCUGUCAACCCCUCGAUUUCAGAUUUCCAGCCUCCAGAACUGUGAGACAGUUCAUUUCUGAUGUAAGCCACCCAAUUUGUGGUACUUUGUUAUGGCAGCCCUGGGAAACUAAUAGAGCCUCUGCUAAGUGCCCAUCUUUAUGGAUUAUCUGUUAUAACCUUAAGGCAAGGACAUGCCUUGGUUCCAUUUCACUUUAGCCCAGGAGAGAGAGCUUAUGGGUUGACCUGAAUUCUUUGUGCACCAUAUCUAGCUAUCUGCAUCUAGAUUUCCUUGUCACACACCCAGUUCAGAAUGACAAGCAGGAGAGGAUUUCAAAUCGCCAGAGCCAUUGCUGAAGGAACAGAGUAUGCUUGCUUGCUUGCUUUCUCUUUCUCUCUUUCUCUCUUUCUUUCUUUCUUCUUUCUUUUUUUCUUCUGAACAAAACAAGUUUUUAAAAUUAUUAUUAUACUUUAAGUUCCAGGGUACAUGUGCACAAAGUACAGGUUCAAUACAUAGGUAUACAUGUGCCAUGUUGGUUUGCUGCACCCAUCAACUCGUCAUUUACAUUACAUAUUUCUCCUAAUGCUAUCCCUCCCCCAACCCCCCAGGCCCAGACAGGCCCCGGUGUGUGAUGUUCCCCGCGCUGUGUCCAAGUGUUCUCAUUGUUCAAUUCCCAGUGAGAACAUGCGGUGUUUGGUUUUCUGUCCUUGUGAUAGUUUGCUGACAAUGAUGAUGGUUUCCAACUUCAUCCAUGUCCCUGCAAAGGACAUGGACUCAUCCUUUUUUAUGGCUGCAUAGUAUUCCAUGGUGUAUAUAUGCCACAUUUUCUUAAUCCAAUCUAUCAUUGAUGGACAUUUGGGUUGGUUCCAAGUCUUUGCUAUUGUGAAUAGUGCUGCAAUAAACUUAUGUGUGCAUGUGUCUUUAUAGUAGCAUGAUUUAUAAUCCUUUGGGUAUAUACCCACUUUAUUUCAUGACCCUCAACCUGAUCAAUGAAAGUCAGGGGGAGCUCAGUAAGCCGUGCUCUUGGAGGAAUCUCAGCCCAGCACUGCUGGUUGUGUAGACAGACAGUCUCUGCGGUGGAGUGGGGUUGGUCAUAAUGGCGAGUCCCCUGCUUCCUCAUUUCCUUCCUCUGUUUCUUCUCCUAUCCAGGGAGUUCCUGAGUGUUUGUUAUUAAAGUUCUUUAUGCUAAUUAUUUUUUAUUGAGCACUGCUUCCAACAUCUCUGUAGGACUUGAUUUAGAAAAAAAUCAUGGGACUCAGGCCUAGCCUUUCCAUGGUCCUGCCUGGCUGUGUCUGGACUGUUGCCUGGAGCCAGCAGCCCCACGCUAUCCUGGGGCCCACAUUCCAUCAGAAGUUCCUUUUUCUUCCUCUGUUUCAAGCACUGCAUAGAUACCUUGCUCAAAGCCAUGUCUAGAGACAAACACACACUCCACAAAAAGCCUUCUCUGUGGACCCAUAUGACUCAGUAUAAUGCAAUCAUUACUUAAUUUCUCAAAACACAUUAACCUAAGGCAAGGUUUAAAACUAGUAAGAGUAGACAUAAAUCCACAGUUCAGAAAGUUUUCUUAAUAAUUUUGAUUUUUUUAAAGAAUGGAAUCCUUCCAGCUCUUUGAGAACCAGAAGAACAAGACCACAAAUCUUCCCUGACUUCACGUCUUUCCCCCUUUGUUAUUCCGAUACUCGAUUCUUAAUUGAAAUUCUACAGUCCUCAACAGCAGACUCAAUGUAGAUUUUUUCCCCUAACCAACUAGCACAAAAAGUUAUCUUUCUCUCAGAAGCCCAGAGGAAUUAUUCAUUCAAAAAGUGCAGUGUUAGGCCGGGCGCAGUGGCUCACGCCUGUAAUCCCA